rnacentral:rRNA from 1 species
CCUUACCAUCCCUUGACAUCCAGAGAAUUUUCUAGAGAUAGAUUAGUGCCUUCGGGAGCUCUGAGACAGGUGCUGCAUGGCUGUCGUCAGCUCGUGUUGUGAAAUGUUGGGUUAAGUCCCGCAACGAGCGCAACCCUUAUCCUUAUUUGCCAGCGAGUAAUGUCGGGAACUUUAAGGAGACUGCCGGUGAUAAACCGGAGGAAGGUGGGGACGACGUCAAGUCAUCAUGGCCCUUACGGGAUGGGCUACACACGUGCUACAAUGGCAGAUACAGAGGGCAGCAAUACCGCGAGGUGGAGCGAAUCCCAGAAAGUCUGUCGUAGUCCGGAUUGGAGUCUGCAACUCGACUCCAUGAAGUCGGAAUCGCUAGUAAUCGUGGAUCAGAAUGCCACGGUGAAUACGUUCCC